rnacentral:rRNA from 1 species
UACGGGGGGGGCUAACGUUAUUCAUCAUAACUGGGCGUAAAGGGUACGUAGGCGGCUUACUAAGUCUUUGUUAAAGAAUCUAAGCUUAACUUAGAAAUUAACUUUGAUACUGUUAAGCUUGGAGGUCAAUAGAGGUUAGUUAUAUUCUUGGAGUAAAAAGUAAAAUCUUUAGAUACCGAGAGGAUAACCGUGAGGUUAAUGCGACUUUCUGGAUUGAUGCUGA